rnacentral:sRNA from 1 species
ACGGACUCGUUAUUGUGCCGCCCGGCACUGG